GAUAGAGCAACAGUGAAAAGUGAACGUGAAAAUAAAAAUGUGUGAAACUUCGGAUAAACCUGCUGAAGGAGUUUGAACUUGAAAAAGUGCACGACUAUCUAAUCGAUUGAAAUUGACUUUCCAAUGCUCUAUCCUGGCAAAGGUCAUUUGCUUUUGUCGAAGUGGGAAGAAUUCAAAGUCAAAAUUUUGAGUCAUUACUCAACCCACCUUCGUAACGACUUUUAUAAACAACAACUGGCAGUAGCAAAGUCGUCUACAAAUAAAGAUCUCCAAGACUUCCUUGUAUCGAUAUUAUUAAAAAAACUGACGAUUGCGGAUUCCCAGGAGUCUUUCGUACUUCAAAUAGAGGCCCUGAACAAUAUACGCCCUAAGAUAGACGAACUAGUGAAUAAGUUCUAUUUAAAAAAAAGAAUCCUUGCAGCCAUUUCUUAGCCUAUAACUAAACUAAAAAAUAAAACCAUUUCAAAAUAAAAUGUAUAUACCAAAAA